rnacentral:tRNA from 1 species
GGGGGUGUAGUAUUAACCGGGGAAAUAGCCCACUAAGUUUAUUAUUUACACAAUAAUAAACGAGGCCGGGAAGUUGCGGGUUCGAGACCCGUCACCUCCA